UUGCUUCUCUGAUGUUAGCGGCGGACGGGUGAGUAACACGUGGAUAACCUACCUAUAAGACUGGGAUAACUUCGGGAAACCGGAGCUAAUACCGGAUAAUAUUUUGAACCGCAUGGUUCAAAAGUGAAAGACGGUCUUGCUGUCACUUAUAGAUGGAUCCGCGCUGCAUUAGCUAGUUGGUAAGGUAACGGCUUACCAAGGCAACGAUGCAUAGCCGACCUGAGAGGGUGAUCGGCCACACUGGAACUGAGACACGGUCCAGACUCCUACGGGAGGCAGCAGUAGGGAAUCUUCCGCAAUGGGCGAAAGCCUGACGGAGCAACGCCGCGUGAGUGAUGAAGGUCUUCGGAUCGUAAAACUCUGUUAUUAGGGAAGAACAUAUGUGUAAGUAACUGUGCACAUCUUGACGGUACCUAAUCAKAAAGCCACGGCUAACUACGUGCCAGCAGCCGCGGUAAUACGUAGGUGGCAAGCGUUAUCCGGAAUUAUUGGGCGUAAAGCGCGCGUASGCGGUUUUUUAAGUCUGAUGUGAAAGCCCACGGCUCAACCGUGGAGGGUCAUUGGAAACUGGAAAACUUGAGUGCAGAAGAGGAAAGUGGAAUUCCAUGUGUAGCGGUGAAAUGCGCAGAKAUAUGGAGGAACACCAGUGGCGAAGGCGACUUUCUGGUCUGUAACUGACGCUGAUGUGCGAAAGCGUGGGGAUCAAACAGGAUUAGAUACCCUGSUAGUCCACGCCGUAAACGAUGAGUGCUAAKUGUUAGGGGGUUUCCGCCCCUUAGUGCUGCAGCUAACGCAUUAGCWCUCCGCCUGGGGAGUACGACCGCAAGGUUGAAACUCAAAGGAWUUGACGGGACCCGCWCAAGCGUGGAGCAUGUGGCUUAAUUCGAAGCACGCKAAGAACCUUACCAAUCUUGACAUCUUUGACAACUCWGAGAUAGAGCCUUCCCCUUCGGGKGAMAAAGGUGACAWGGKGUKGCAUGGUGUCGUCAKYUCUSUCGUGARAUGUUKGGUUAAGYCCCGCACGASCGCAWCCUUAASUYUAGUKCWCWUUAKUUKGG
rnacentral:rRNA from 1 species